UAAUACGUAGGUGGCGAGCGUUGUCCGGAUUUACUGGGCGUAAAGAGCGCGCAGGCGGUCGUGCAAGUCGCGUGUGAAAGCCCCCGGCUCAACUGGGGAGGGUCACGCGAUACUGCUCGACUCGAAGGCAGGAGAGGGAAGUGGAAUUCCCGGUGUAGUGGUGAAAUGCGUAGAUAUCGGGAGGAACACCAGUGGCGAAGGCGACUUCCUGGCCUGUUCUUGACGCUGAGGCGCGAAAGCUAGGGUAGCAAACGGGAUUAGAUACCCCG
rnacentral:rRNA from 1 species